AUGAGGACACACACUCUGAUCAUCUGCUCUCUGCUGCUGCUGCUCAACGGUGACACUCACUUUACUGCAUUUACUACAUUUACUACAGUACAUGAACUUGUUCUGUGUAGAGGACAGAUCACCGUCACUCAGAGUCCCUCAAUGACAGCAGCUCAACCAGGACAAACUGUGAACAUCAACUGUAAAACCAGCAGAGAUGUGUUCAAUGAUGGAGAUGAAGCUUUAGCCUGGUACUUACAGAAACCUGGAGAAGCUCCUAAACUCCUGAUUUAUUGGGCCAACCGCCUCCAGUCAGGAACUCCAUCUAGAUUCAGUGGCAGUGGAUCUAACAGUGAUUUCACUCUGACCAUCAGUGGAGUCCAGACUGAAGAUGCUGGACAUUAUUACUGUCAGAGUUAUCACAGUGGUGGUGUGUUCACACAGUGA